AACCCUUAUCGUUAGUUGCCAGCGGGUAAAUGCCGGGAACUCUAACGAAAACUGCCGGUGUAAACCGAGAGGAAGGUGGGGAUGACGUCAAAUCAGCACGGCCCUUAUGUCCAGGGCUACACACGUGUUACAAUGGCCGGUACAGAGGGCAGCUACCUGGAGACAGGAUGCGAAUCUCGAAAGCCGGUCUCAGUUCGGAUCGGAGUCUGCAACUCGACUCCGUGAAGCUGGAUUCGCUAGUAAUCGCGCAUCAGCCAUGGCGCGGUGAAUACGUUCCCGGGCCUU
rnacentral:rRNA from 1 species